rnacentral:rRNA from 1 species
GAUGAACGCUGGCGGCGUGCCUAAUACAUGCAAGUCGAGCGAACAGAUAAGGAGCUUGCUCCUUUGACGUUAGCGGCGGACGGGUGAGUUACACGUGGAUAACCUACCUAUAAGACUGGGAUAACUUCGGGAAACCGGAGCUAAUACCGGAUAACAUAUUGAACCGCAUGGUUCAAUAGUGAAAGGCGGCUUUGCUGUCACUUAUAGAUGGAUCCGCGCCGUAUUAGCUAGUUGGUAAGGUAACGGCUUACCAAGGCAACGAUACGUAGCCGACCUGAGAGGGUGAUCGGCCACACUGGAACUGAGACACGGUCCAGACUCCUACGGGAGGCAGCAGUAGGGAAUCUUCCGCAAUGGGCGAAAGCCUGACGGAGCAACGCCGCGUGAGUGAUGAAGGUCUUCGGAUCGUAAAACUCUGUUAUCAGGGAAGAACAAAUGUGUAAGUAACUGCGCACAUCUUGACGGUACCUGAUCAGAAAGCCACGGCUAACUACGUG